UAGGGAAUCUUCGGCAAUGGACGAAAGUCUGACCGAGCAACGCCGCGUGAGUGAAGAAGGUUUUCGGAUCGUAAAACUCUGUUGUUAGAGAAGAACAAGGACGUUAGUAACUGAACGUCCCCUGACGGUAUCUAACCAGAAAGCCACGGCUAACUACGUGCCAGCAGCCGCGGUAAUACGUAGGUGGCAAGCGUUGUCCGGAUUUAUUGGGCGUAAAGCGAGCGCAGGCGGUUUCUUAAGUCUGAUGUGAAAGCCCCCGGCUCAACCGGGGAGGGUCAUUGGAAACUGGGAGACUUGAGUGAAGAAGAGGAGAGUGGAAUUCCAUGUGUAGCGGUGAAAUGCGUAGAUAUAUGGAGGAACACCAGUGGCGAAGGCGGCACUCUGGUCUGUAACUGACGCUGAGGCUCGAAAGCGUGGGGAGCAAACAGG
rnacentral:rRNA from 1 species